rnacentral:rRNA from 1 species
GAUGAACGCUGGCGGCGUGCCUAAUACAUGCAAGUCGAGCGAACGGACGAGAAGCUUGCUUCUCUGAUGUUAGCGGCGGACGUGUGAGUAACACGUGGAUAACCUACCUAUAAGACUGGGAUAACUUCGGGAAACCGGAGCUAAUACCGGAUAAUAUUUUGAACCGCAUGGUUCAAAAGUGAAAGACGGUCUUGCUGUCACUUAUAGAUGGAUCCGCGCUGCAUUAGCUAGUUGGUAAGGUAACGGCUUACCAAGGCAACGAUGCAUAGCCGACCUGAGAGGGUGAUCGGCCACACUGGAACUGAGACACGGUCCAGACUCCUACGGGAGGCAGCAGUAGGGAAUCUUCCGCAAUGGGCGAAAGCCUGACGGAGCAACGCCGAGUGAGUGAUGAAGGUCUUCGGAUCGUAAAACUCUGUUAUUAGGGAAGAACAUAUGUGUAAGUAACUGUGCACAUCUUGACGGUACCUAAUCAGAAAGCCACGGCUAACUACGUG